UUUCCCUCAAAGGGAAUGAGGCUGAGUUCUCACAGGUUAGUCAGCCCUCUUUCCCUACCACAUCUUUGAGCAUUUGGAUAAACUAACUUGUCCUUCUCCACCGUUGCUCAUGGCUGCUGACAGAACCUGAGUCCAUCGGCCCUGAUGGAUAGACUUUAGGUAGGAGGCAGCUGCUGACAUCAGCACUCAGACAGUGCCGUGUGUAACAAGCAUGCCCAUGGUGGAGGGGGUUUUACCAGUUAGCGACUAGAUGGUGUUUGUUUUUGUGCCUUUUAUCUGCAUGUCUCUCCUUUGUGCUGAGAUCCACUGCUCUCUCAGAUGGCAGCUAUGCAAAGACAGUGCAUGUUUUCCACCAGCACACAUUUUACUGACCCCAACUGUGAGAGCUGACAAUGACAGUGUUACUGAUUUCAGAGGCUGCUUUCUAGAGGGGUUUUAUUUGCACAAGACUGAAACUUGGUGUCUAGAUAAAGUACAAAUUACAUUGUUCAUUUAUUCCCUCCUAUAAUACUUAUAAAUCUAGUUUUUACAAAACUAUGUGUUUGGCUUUUGUUUUGUUGACUGUACAUUCCAGAAAUACAAAUUAAUUUUCUUGGUGGCUGUUAAUGGACGUAGGUGCAGUACUGUGAAAUAUGCAUGUAAAUUAUUUGUACUGAUUAUUUUGAGUUCUCUUUUUAUGUAAAUUCAUUCUUUGAGUAAUCUUGUAUAAUAUGAUUAAAACUCUAUUAUACAAAUCCUUAUUUAUUUCAGAAGUCUGACAUUACAUGCUCUGGUUCAGAACCAAAGUGAAUAUUGAAGAAAACCUCCAUGGUUUUUAGAUAGUUGGGCUAAAAUAUAUCAUUAAUUUUUGCUGGAAUAGUAAUUUUGACAUUAUUCUAAGAGCUGGUCUGCUUUCUUACUCAUGUCCAGUCUAUAAAUGUAGAAAUAUAUCUCUGUACAUCUCUCUGUAUUUUAACACAUACCUUCAUUGCUCUUUCCCCAUACAUGUUGGGUGUAUUUUUGGAGACAUUUCAUAGGGGUUUGUCCAGGUACUUCAUGAACAUACAAUAGAAGAUGGAGGCGUCCCAUGCCCUGUAGGUUUGUGUUUGCUUAUUUUCAAUUUCAAGUUGGCUUCUACAUUCAUAAGUUAAGUUCUGUUAACUAUUUUAAAAAUAUUUGCAAUGUGCCUGUCAGCAAAGUCAAAUCUCUAACAUUUUGUGUAUCAGGUAUUUGACGUAUGUGUGCAGCAGUGAAACUAUUACCAAAUCAAGGCAGAAAACAUGCCCACACUCCCAAGAGCUCCUUUGAACUCAAGUGUCCCUUCUCGCCUCUCUGUGGAGCUAUCUGAGGAUGUGGUUGACGGUUUCUAAAGAUGAUUAUCUGUGACAUAUACACUGGGAAUGUCUUUGAGGUUCCUCAUUAUAUCUAAUAUCUUUUCAGAUCCUCGACACUCUGAUUCUCCUUUUCCAUCUUGCGUCUGAUGUUUAUGAACUUCUGUGGAAGCUUAUUCUUCUUGCUGCCUCCUGGGGAGUUUCUAUUUUUCUCUUGUUCGUCUGGAGGACCGUCCUUGCUGUAAAGCCUCCAGUGUGUCAAGUUACUUUAAAGCAGAUGACUGAGCAGAGCAAGAAUUUGGAGAAUGAAAACAGAGAACUUGCAGAAAAUAUAUCUGCUUGGGUGCAGAAGACCAACAACGCAAAGAAAUGCUUAGAGGAGGCCAUCAGGCAAAAGAAGCUGCCCUCUGAGAAAGCACUGAAGUUUAAGGUACGAACCUC